CCUACGGGUGGCUGCAGUGGGGAAUAUUGCACAAUGGGGGCAACCCUGAUGCAGCGACGCCGCGUGAGUGAGGAAGUAUUUCGGUAUGUAAAGCUCUAUCAGCAGGGAAGAAAAUGACGGUACCUGACUCAGAAGCACCGGCUAACUACGUGCCAGCAGCCGCGGUAAUACGUAGGGGGCAAGCGUUAGCCGGUUCUACUGGGUGUAAAGGGAGCGUAGACGGCUUGGCAAGUCAGAUGUGAAAGGCUGGGGUUCAACCUCAGGACUGCAUUUGGGACUGGCAGGCGUGAGUGUCGGAGAGGCGGGUAGAAUUCCAAGUGUAGCGGUGAAAUGCGUAGAGAUCUGGAGGAACACCAGUGGCGAAGGCGGCCUCCUGGAC
rnacentral:rRNA from 1 species